GUCAAUUCGGAGAUAUCCAAUAAAUUAGAAUGAUAUAGAGAAGAUUAACCUCUCUCAUGCACAAGAUUACAUGCAUAAAUAGAGAAAUAUACAAUUUUUAG